UACGUAGGGGGCAGGCGUUGUCCGGAUUUAUUGGGCGUAAAGAGCGUGUAGGCGGUUCGGUAGGUCCGUUGUGAAAACUCGAGGCUCAACCUCGAGACGCCGAUGGAAACCCCCGAACUAGAGUCCGGAAGAGGAGAAUGGAAUUCCUGGUGUAGCGGUGAAAUGCGCAGAUAUCAGGAAGAACACCCGUGGCUAAGGCGGUUCUCUAGUACGGUACUGACGCUGAGACGCGAAAGCGUGGGGAGCGAACAGG
rnacentral:rRNA from 1 species